rnacentral:rRNA from 1 species
GGUCCCAAGGGUUGGGCUGUUCGCCCAUUAAAGCGGUACGCGAGCUGGGUUCAGAACGUCGUGAGACAGUUCGGUCCCUAUCCGGCGCGGGCGCAGGAUAUCUGAGAGGAGCUGUCCUUAGUACGAGAGGACCGGGAUGGACAGACCGCUGGUGUACCUGUUGGCCUACCAAGGCCAUGGCAGGGUAGCCAAGUCUGGACGGGAUAAACGCUGAAGGCAUCUAAGCGUGAAGCCCCCCUCAAGAUGAGAUAUCCCAUCGCGAAAGCGAGUAAGACCCCUUGAAGACGACGAGGUAGAUAGGUUAGAGGUGGAAGUGCAGUAAUGUACGUAGCUGACUAAUACUAAUCGGUCGAGGGCUUAUCCAAAA